CCGGCGAGUUACGUUAUCUAGCGAGGUUAAGUCAGAAAAGACGGAGCCGGAGCGAAAGCGAGUCUUAAUAGGGCGAAAAGUUAGGUGACGUAGACCCGAAACCAAGUGACCUACCCAUGACCAGGCUGAAGGUGUGGUAAAACGCACUGGAGGGCCGAACCCACGUAAGUUAAAAAUUGCGGGGAUGAGUUGUGGGUAGCGGUGAAAUUCCAAACGAACUUGGAGAUAGCUGGUUCUCUCCGAAAUAGCUUUAGGGCUAGCCUCGUGGAGAGGAUAAUGGAGGUAGAGCUCUGUUUGGACUAGGGGCCCGUCAGGGGUUACUGAAUCCAGAUAAACUACGAAUUCCAGAUAUCCAUACACGGGAGUCAGACUGCGAGUGAUAAGAUCCGUAGUCGAAAGGGAAACAGCCCAGAUCACCAGUUAAGGUCCCCAAAUCUAUGCUAAGUGGAAAAGGAUGUGGAGUUGCGUAGACAACUAGGACGUUGGCUCAGAAGCAGCCAUCAUUCAAAGAGUGCGUAAUAGCUCACUAGUCGAGUGGCGCUGCGCCGAAAAUUUACCGGGGCUAAGCAUAGUACCGAAACUGUGGAUGUGUUUUAAAGAGCACGUGGUAGGAGAGCGUUCUAAGAGCGGCGAAGGUGAACCGAGAGGAUCAUUGGAGCGCUUAGAAGUGAGAAUGCCGGUAUGAGUAGCGAAAGAUAGGUGAGAAUCCUAUCCGCCGAAAGACUAAGGUUUCCUGGGGCAGGCUCGUCCGCCCAGGGUAAGUCGGGACCUAAGGCAAGGCCGAGAGGCGUAGUCGAUGGAUAACAGGUAGAAAUUCCUGUACUGUGUCAAAUCGUUAUGAGCGAUGGAGGGACGCAGGAGGUGAAGCACGCAUCGAGCUGGAUCGAUGUUCAAGCGACAAGUGCGGUUAAGAGUCAAAUGCUUCUAACCAGCAACACGAGUCGUGAUGAGGAGUGAAGUAAAAGUAGCGAAGGUGUGGUAGUCACACUGCCAAGAAAAGCUUCUAGCCAGAGAUGACAUACCCGUACCGCAAACCGACACAGGUAGUCGAGUGGAGAACACUAAGGUGAGCGAGAGAACUCUCGUUAAGGAACUCGGCAAAAUGACCCCGUA
rnacentral:rRNA from 1 species